rnacentral:rRNA from 1 species
CCAGACUCCUACGGGAGGCAGCAGUCGGGAAUAUUGCGCAAUGGAGGAAACUCUGACGCAGUGACGCCGCGUAUAGGAAGAAGUUUUUCGGAAUGUAAACUAUUGUCGUUAGGGAAGAAAAUGACGGUACCUGACUAAGAAGCCCCGGCUAACUACGUGCCAGCAGCCGCGGUAAUACGUAGGGGGCAAGCGUUAUCCGGAUUUACUGGGUGUAAAGGGAGCGUAGACGGCAGCGCAAGUCUGAAGUGAAAUCCCAUGGCUUAACCAUGGAACUGCUUUGGAAACUGUGCAGCUGGAGUGCAGGAGAGGUAAGCGGAAUUCCUAGUGUAGCGGUGAAAUGCGUAGAUAUUAGGAGGAACACCGGUGGCGAAGGCGGCUUACUGGACUGUAACUGACGUUGAGGCUCGAAAGCGUGGGGAGCAAACAGGAUUAGAUACCCCAGUACA